UUCUAUUCUGCAGUGGUUAUCCAGCUGAUUAUCCAGAGGUGUGAGUGUGUCAUGCAGCCAGUAGUGGAUUUUUGUUAGAAUUUCUAAAAUGCUAGAAUUUAAUUUUUAUCUAUCUCAUAUGUGUUGCACUCAGGACCCAGUAAAUGCAUUUUUGUACUUCAGGAUAACAGGUUAAGAAAUAUUAAUCUUUACCUGUUAGAUGGCAAAUACAUAAAUGUUACUAACUAUUGCCUAUGGAAACUCAGAAAGGAAAGAGGAUCUGUCUGAAUGGCAGCAUCCAUCCUGGCCUUCCUCAAGGGGCUGAUUUCCCAAAGCUGAGAAGAAAUACAUGGAAAUUUGAAAGGAAAAUGUAAUAGAAAAUGGUGAACCAACACUGGUGGUUAAAAAAAAUAAAUAAACUCUUAAACAUGGCAAUCUCUCAAUUCUACAAUAGAAAAGGAUCAUUUCAGUUAAAAGUCCAUUCUGGAACAGUUACAUGAAACUGUAUUUUGUGGUAUCUCUUGAUUUUGGGUUAUUGGGGAAAUUGCAGAAUUCCUAUUUCAAGAUGACUUUGGUGAUCUGGACAGGGAAAUUCAUGUUACCAUGAUAUCUCUCUCAGGUCCAGGAUUGGGCUAAAGACAGAGAGUUGAUUUAUACAGAAUUGACAGAUUUAGAUAAAAGUAAAUGCAAGUAGAGGUGAGUUUUUUGAAAAUUUCAGUCAGAUUUAUGGCUUUUUGAUUAAGGACUUUAUUGAUAUCCAUCAAUGGACUGAGACAAGGAUGUGGAAUUUCACGUAAUAUCAUGGUUGCUUGAAGAUGGAAAAGUCUUUGGAUUUGUCAAUGUGUCUAAUAUAUUGGGAACUUGCUAGAUGUGGAAGUAGUUCGCAGUGGGAGGCCACUACCCAAAACCUGAGUGGCAUUUUUGGUGCAUCUCAGUGUGGUCCACAGUUUUCAACAUCCACACCCAGCAUCUGGGAGUACUUGCACCCUUAAGGUUUAUAAAACUUUUAAGUGACACAUAGGGCAUCAAAAUGUUAAAUGUUGAGGGCAAAUGACAGUUUUGCAAAUCAAGAUUGCUAAGACUCCACUGACACAGAAUUCACAUUCAAACAAUAUGGAUUUCAGUUCAGCAAAGUGUAGAGUACUAAUGAUUUAGAAAGAGUGAACAGUGGUGGAAGCUUUGAAAUAGGGAACUGCGUCCUCACAAGUCAAAAAGAGCUGAGGUGUUGGCAUCAGACAAUCUCAAGCCUUCAAUGGAAGGUUGUGUCAAAAAAGGCCUGCUGAGAUCUGGGGCUGUUGAUGAGAAACUAUGGAGUAGGAGAGGGGGAAAAAAGGAUUUUAAUCUAUGUGUAGUACAUUGGCAAAGGCAUUGUUGAAGCAUUUUCCUUAGCUCUGGAAAAAAUGUGUUUUAUGUUAAACAAUGUUAUGUUAUAACAAUGUUAUAAACUACAGCCAAUGUAGAAAACAGUCUCCAAAAUCAUCCAGAGACUGGAGAGAACUUUUAUGAAUGAGAAAUGCAAGACCAGUUCAGCCUGUGUAGGUAUCAAAAAGAUAACUGUGGGAUGACUCGAUGCUAAUGUAAAUUCCUUUGAGAAGAGAAAUUGCUGGGUAGUAAUGGGCUCUUCAAAGUAGCACAGAAACACACAACAGAUCAGCCACUGGAAGCUGAUGCCAGACAAACCCAAAUGAAGCCAUAAGAUAUAGUUUUAACUGUGCAUAUUGUUGUCACUGGUGCAAACUCCCAAGAGAAAUGUUUGGCCUCUGAGUUGCUGAGUUUUUUUGAAAUGAUUGAAUGCCUCUCUAGAUAGCACCCUUUAGCUCUACAAAAGUUAUUUGGCUUGUUUUGUUGGGAACUGGGUAAAAUUUAGUCACAUGUGGUACACAUGAUGUAAUUCAAAAUAAUUUUUAUGUUCUUGUCUGCCUCUAAACUCCAUGUUUAAAUAAAGCUCAGGUCCUUCAUUUUGUACAGGCUGUCUGUAUUUCUUCUUCUUAUCUCCUACAAGCCUUACUUUCAGCCUCCAAUACUUAUAAACUUGAAUUGAGGAGAGGUGACUCUGCAGCUGGCCAUCCCUGAAGUGUGGCACAGUUUGAGGUCGGGCAGCUUGACCUCGUGAGCACACAAAGACUGUCCUGUGUCUGUCAGUUUUUGGUAACACCCAGAACUGUGACUAUAAGGACCAUGCAGCCCAACCCCCUGUGUCUGCAGCAUCAGCCCUUCCAGCUUUAAUCACUCCCCUUAGCCUUGUCCAUAGGAAGGAGCAGAAAAUGCCACUCAGCAAAGGCUGCGAGGCCGUGAAAUUGUGUUAAGCGACGCUCAUGAAAAUGACCGGAUUUGCUAUUUUAGUGUAAGUGUCUAAAUGUUUUUGAAAUUGUAAUUUUCUUGUGCUGCUGUGUGUAAAGGUGACCCCUGAGUGCUGGGCCCUUGGCAGUUUUCUCCAGACAGCUCAUCAGCUUGAUUCAUUUGGAGGGCUAGUCAGUCAGCACCUUCUCAGUGGUGGCGGAGGAGGAUUGAGCCCUUCCCUGAUUUUCCAGGAUAUAAAGGCACGCACAGCUUUCUGAAGACACAUUAGGGUUUUAUUUUUGUGGCAGCAACACGUUCACCAGAGGUACAAAGAUUAUAACCCUUAAUUCAGCUUGCUAGAAGCCAUGCAGGAAUAGGCAGAGUAGUGUCACUUGAGGAAUCCUGAGCUUCUGCUGGAGAGACAGUUCUGGAUGAAUGCAUUUCUGCAGUCACUGCUCUUCCUGUUUCUCUUUCAUCUCAUUUAAAAUUGCAGAAGAGCCAAGUAUGGUUUGUUGCAGCCUUUGGCCACACGAUGGCACACAUCAGUCAAAAGAACAUUACAAUAUGAUCCGAGGAUGGAGAAGAGUUAAGGCUCUUGUUCAGGCCUGUGGUGGUCAGGACAUAUCCCUCCUGGCUGCUGUUUUGAUGCACAACUGACCCCGGUCACAGUGAGGGACAGGGAUGGUGUUUCUUCCAUAAGCUCAAAAAAUAAAAACAGAAAAAAUUUUGAAGAACAAAAGGAUCUGAAGCAGGAGCAAAAAGCAUCUCUGGCAGAAAAAUUUGGCCAUUAAAAAGGACUGGUCUGGUGUUUGUGUUGGAGCCUAAUGCAUCUGGAUGCAUUUGAUUUUGAUGGCAGAUAUGCCACUUCAGAUAGAAUAUGAUGACUGGGUAAAGCAGAAGGACUUCCUGAAAGAGGCUGAAACAAGACUGUACCUUGCCCAGAAAUGGCACAGUAAUUGGGGACACCUUGCGGAGGACGACUGAGAGAGAGAGACUGACCCAUCUCAGAGCGAGGUAUUCUGUUUUCGGGACUGCCUGUGGGAGAAAGGACUCCUUCAUGGCUGGCUGUGACACCAUCGGCUGCUGGCUGCUGCGGGCGCACGGGGCUGCGAGCAGCUGUUGAACUGCCAGGACAGUCCUGCCUUCCCCCCUCCCUCACGCUCCGGAUUGCUGCGGUUUUCUUCUCCCCCACCUGGGGAAUUGGGACUUUGUUUUGUUUCUUCUGAAAGUUUUUGAUUGCACCAUUUCUUGUUUGUUCAGAUUUUGUUAAUAAA